UACGUAGGUGGCAAGCGUUGUCCGGAUUUACUGGGCGUAAAGAGCGCGCAGGCGGUUGAUUAAGUCGAAUGUGAAAGCCCCCGGCUCAACCGGGGAGGGUCGCCGUGGACUGCCGUGCUUGAGGGCGGCAGGGGUCGGUGGAAUGCCCGGUGUAGUGGUGAAAUGCGUAGAGAUCCGGAAGAACACCAGUGGCGAAGGCGGCCUGCUGGGCAGUUGCUGACGCUGAGGCGCGACAGCGUGGGGAGCAAACAGG
rnacentral:rRNA from 1 species